rnacentral:snRNA from 1 species
GUCUAUCUCUGAACAUAUCUUAAAAUCGGAUCAAUACAUAGAAUAUCAGCAAGGCUCCUGUGUAUGGACGUAUAGCAGAUUCUUGAAGCGUUCCAAAACUUU